CCUCCCUCCGCGCCACCUAUCCCCGGCUAUUCACCAGCGCGAUGACAAAUCUCCCGGGCGUGUGUCCGUCCCGUCCUUCCAGACAGCGCUGCGUCCCCAUCUCGGCGGCGGACCGGCCGGCGAGGAGCUGUAAUGUCUUGGAGGAUCCUUGCUGCCAAGAUGAGGAGUUAGCAGAGGAAGUGAUCAGGCUGCGUAGUAUAAGGAAAGAGGAAAGAGAGAUAGGACACUCUCUGAGACUCAGCAGCUUGAAAAGCCACCACCCCCACCUGCGAAUGAGAAGUUGACAGUGUUCACCCCUAAUAUAAAGGUGCAGCUAUUGUGAUCUACUUUCAGAGUAUGUCAAGUUAUUAAGUACAGGAGAAACAAGAAGAAAGACAUAGAAUCAAAAACAGGUCCUUCAGAGAAGAUGAUGCAGUCUGUUUCCCGACAACUCUUCCCUGAGGAAUUCCCCAUCAAGACUGACAGCUGUAUAUCAACAGGACAUCCUGGUAGAGAAGAAGGGAUGGCUACAUUAAACCAUAAAGGAUCUUUGCCAGACCUGUAUUGUGAAAGCAAACUCUCUCUUGUUAAAUUGGGAGCUCUGUUCUUUCCACAAAGACACGCAUAACUUCCUCCACCCUUGGUGCAAAUCAAACACCUAAGAGCCUGUUUGAAUAUGGGGCUGAGCAUAAAAUUAUUUGACAAAUUAUGUCAGUGCAAACUAGUUACAAAUUAUGUUAGUGCAAACCAGUUACUGUGACAGCAGGCACCUAU